AGCAUAGCGGAAUGAGCAGCUGGAAAGCUGAGACCACAGAGGGUAAAAGUCCCGUACGCGAAAUGUGAAGAGACAGGCCAGAAUCCAGAGUACCACGAGGCACGUGAAACCUCGUGGGAAGCAGGGUGGACCACCAUCCAAGGCUAAAUACUAACUGGUGACCGAUAGUGGAGCAGUACCGUGAGGGAAAGGUGAAAAGAACCCCGGGAGGGGAGUGAAAGAGAACCUGAAACCCUAUGUUUACAAGCAGUUGAAGAGCGUUAAGGCUCGACAGCGUACUUUUUGUAGAACGGUCCGGCGAGUUAUUGUAUGCAGCGAGGUUAAGUACGUAAAGUACGGAGCCGAAGGGAAACCGAGUCUUAAAUGGGCGAGGAGUUGCAUGCUAUAGACCCGAAACCGGGUGACCUACCCAUGGACAGGUUGAAGCGGGAGUAAAAUCUCGUGGAGGACCGAACCACAUGACCGUUGAAAAGGUCUGGGAUGAGCUGUGGGUGGCGGAGAAAUUCCAAUCGAACUCGGAGAUAGCUGGUUCUCCCCGAAAUAGCUUUAGGGCUAGCCUCAAGGGAAAGUCAUACGGAGGUAGAGCACUGAAUGGGCUAGGGGCCUUACCAGGUUACCGAACCCUAUCAAACUCCGAAUGCCGUAAUGAUGUUACUUGGGAGUCAGACUAUGAGAGAUAAGUCCCAUGGUCAAAAGGGAAACAGCCCAGACCAUCAGCUAAGGUCCCCAAAUUACAGUUAAGUGGAAAAGGAUGUGGGCUUGCUAAGACAACUAGGAUGUUGGCUUAGAAGCAGCCACUCAUUCAAAGAGUGCGUAAUAGCUCACUAGUCGAGUGAGCCUGCGCCGAAAAUGUCCGGGGCUAAACUGUAUACCGAAGCUAUGGAUCAGCGUGCAUCUAAUAGUGUCACUUAGUGAAAAUAAGCUGAGACAUUUCACAAAGAGCAACAGAUAAAGAUAGAAAGAGAGCUUUUUGUCAAAGGUCAUAAAUGCUGAACUGUAUACCGGAAGAAAAGUAAAGGGUACAGGAGAGAAGUUAAGAGACAGUAUUAGAUGCACGAGGGUGGUAGGGGAGCUUACUGUUGUAGGUUGAAGCACGACCGGAAGGACGUGUGGACGAAGCAGUAGUGAGAAUGCCGGAAUAAGUAGCGAGAGUAAAGUGAGAAUCUUUACCGUCGAAAGCCUAAGGUUUCCUGGGGAAGGUUCGUCCGCCCAGGGUAAGUCUGGACCUAAGCUGAGGCCGAAAGGCGUAAGUGAUGGACAACAGGUUGAAAUUCCUGUACUGCCGUUAUUCGUUAUGAGAGAGGUGGGGACGCAGGAGGAUAAGUCAAGCAUACAGCUGGAAAAGUAUGCGCAAGCGAGGUAGAUAGUCUGGCAGGCAAAUCCGCCGGAUGUUUCGAAGGCGUGAUGCGGAGGGAAAAUAAGUACCGAAGUGACAGAUUCCACACUGACGAGAAAAUCCACUAUCCAGAAUAAAGGUACCAGUACCGCAAACCGACACAGGUAGGUGAGGAGAGAAUCCUAAGACGAACGGGAGAAGCGUUGUUAAGGAACUCGGCAAAUUGACCCCGUAAGUUAGCGAAAAGGGGUGCCA
rnacentral:rRNA from 1 species